rnacentral:rRNA from 1 species
GACGAACGCUGGCGGCGUGCUUAACACAUGCAGGUCGAACGGAAAGGCCCUGCUUUUGUGGGGUGCUCGAGUGGCGAACGGGUGAGUAACACGUGAGUAACCUGCCCUUGACUUUGGGAUAACUUCAGGAAACUGGGGCUAAUACCGGAUAGGAGCUCCUGCUGCAUGGUGGGGGUUGGAAAGUUUCGGCGGUUGGGGAUGGACUCGCGGCUUAUCAGCUUGUUGGCGGGGUAGUGGCUUACCAAGGCUUUGACGGGUAGCCGGCCUGAGAGGGUGACCGGCCACAUUGGGACUGAGAUACGGCCCAGACUCCUACGGGAGGCAGCAGUGGGGAAUAUUGCACAAUGGGCGGAAGCCUGAUGCAGCAACGCCGCGUGCGGGAUGACGGCCUUCGGGUUGUAAACCGCUUUCGCCUGUGACGAAGCGUGAGUGACGGUAAUGGGUAAAGAAGCACCAGCUAACUACGU